rnacentral:rRNA from 1 species
GACGAACGCUGGCGGCGUGCUUAACACAUGCCAGUCGAACGGAAAGGCCCUGCUUUUGUGGGGUGCUCGAGUGGCGAACGGGUGAGUAACACGUGAGUAACCUGCCCUUGACUUUGGGAUAACUUCAGGAAACUGGGGCUAAUACCGGAUAGGAGCUCCUGCUGCAUGGUGGGGGUUGGAAAGUUUCGGCGGUUGGGGAUGGACUCGCGGCUUAUCAGCUUGUUGGUGGGGUAGUGGCUUACCAAGGCUUUGACGGGUAGCCGGCCUGAGAGGGUGACCGGCCACAUUGGGACUGAGAUACGGCCCAGACGCGUACGGGAGGCAGCAGGGGGGAAUAUUGCACAAUGGGCGGGAGCCUGAUGCAGCAACGCCGCGUGCGGGAUGACGGCCUUCGGGUUGUAAACCGCUUUCGCCUGUGACGAAGCGUGAGUGACGGUAAUGGGUAAAGAAGCACCGGCUAACUACGUG